AGAAUCAACGCUGGCGGCGUGCCUAACACAUGCAAGUCGAACGCGAAAGCCCCGCAAGGGGUAAGUAGAGUGGCAAACGGGUGAGUAACACGUGGGUGAUCUGCCUCAGAGUGGGGGAUAACGACCCGAAAGGGUCGCUAAUACCGCAUAACAUCCUGCCUUUGGAUAGGUGGCGAUCAAAGUUGGGGAUCCGCAAGGACCUGACGCUUGGAGAGGAGCCCGCGGCCGAUUAGCUAGUUGGUGAGGUAACGGCUCACCAAGGCAACGAUCGGUA
rnacentral:rRNA from 2 species